UACGGGGGGGGCAAGCGUUGUUCGGAAUUACUGGGCGUAAAGGGUUCGUAGGUGGCUUGCUAAGUCAGACGUGAAAUCCCUCAGCUUAACUGGGGAACUGCGUCUGAUACUGGCGAGCUUGAGUGCAGGAGAGGAACGCGGAAUUCCAGGUGUAGCGGUGAAACGCGUAGAUAUCUGGAGGAACACCGGUGGCGAAGGCGGCGUUCUGGACUGCAACUGACACUGAUGAACGAAAGCCAGGGGAGCAAACGGG
rnacentral:rRNA from 1 species